CCUACGGGUGGCAGCAGUGGGGAAUAUUGGGCAAUGGGCGCAAGCCUGACCCAGCAACGCCGCGUGAAGGAAGAAGGCUUUCGGGUUGUAAACUUCUUUUCUCAGGGAGGAAGCAAGUGACGGUACCUGAGGAAUAAGCCACGGCUAACUACGUGCCAGCAGCCGCGGUAAUACGUAGGUGGCAAGCGUUAUCCGGCUUUACUGGGUGUAAAGGGCGUGUAGGCGGGGACGCAAGUCAGAUGUGAAAACCACGGGCUCAACCUGUGGCCUGCAUUUGAAACUGUGUUACUUGAGUGCUGGAGAGGCAGACGGAAUGCCUAGUGUAGCGGUGAAAUGCGUAGAUAUUAGGAGGAACACCAGUGGCGAAGGCGGUCUGCUGGACAGCAAUUGACGCUGAGGCGCGAAAGCGUGGGGAGCAAACAGGAUUAGAUACCCGUGUAGUC
rnacentral:rRNA from 1 species